GACGAACGCUGGCGGCGUGCUUAACACAUGCAAGUCGAACGGGCCUGUCUUCUUUUUUGGGGGGUGGGUUGAGUGGCGAACGGGUGAGUAUCACGUGAGUAACCUGCCCUUCGGUCCUGGAUAACCGCUUGAAAGGGCGGCUAAUACGGGGUGGUCCGGUUGGUCCGCAUGGGCUGGUCGGGAUAGAUUCACUGUUUUUGGUGUUUCGGCGGGGGAUGGGCUCGCGGCCUAUCAGCUUGUUGGUGGGGUGAUGGCCUACCAAGGCGGUGACGGGUAGCCGGCCUGAGAGGGUGGGCGGCCACACUGGGACUGAGAUACGGCCCAGACUCCUGCGGGAGGCAGCAGUGGGGGGUAUUGCACAAUGGGCGGAAGCCUGAUGCAGCGACGUCGCGUGAGGGAUGGAGGCCUUCGGGUUGUGAACCUCUGUUUCCGGUGGUGAAGGCCCUGUCCGUGUGGUGGGGUUGACGGUGGCCGGGGAUGAAGCGCCGGCUAACUACGUG
rnacentral:rRNA from 1 species